rnacentral:rRNA from 1 species
AACCAACAUUGAACAUAAGCGACAGCUUGAUUCAGUCAGAGUGAAGAGGGCCGGCAAAUGUGGUGCCAGCCGCCGCGGUUAUACCACACGACCCAAGUUGACCUUGCAGCGGCGUAAAGCGUGAUUAAAGUUACCCUGCCACUAUAGUUAAACUAAAAAUUAGCUGUAUAAUGCUCUUUACCUAGUAUACCCAAAAACGAAAGUUACUAUAUACAAAACAACUUGAAUUCACUACAGUUAGGGCACAAACUAGGAUUAGAUACCCUACUAUGCCUAACCAUAAACCUUCAACCUACACUAACAUCGCCAGGUAACUACGAGCAAAGCUUAAAACCCAAAGGACUUGACGGUCCCCCACAUCCCCCUAGAGGAGCCUGUCCUUUAAAUCGAUAGUCCCCGUUAA